rnacentral:misc_RNA from 1 species
GUAUUCGAGUUUUUGAUUUACUCUGAAUGUUAGACUUGCAAUUGAAGACGUGUGAGAAGAAAAUGAAGCCCAGUCUUCCCUUUCUCCCCCGAGAGAGAGAGAGGAGUUUGAAAGGGCCCUUACAAUGCACACAAGGUGGGUAUGGAUUUGAAAGUGCCAUAAACACUUAUUGUGAAUGAUCCUUCCGCAGGUUCACCUACGGAAA